GUGGGGAAUCUUGCGCAAUGGGCGAAAGCCUGACGCAGCCAUGCCGCGUGAAUGAUGAAGGUCUUAGGAUUGUAAAAUUCUUUCACCGGGGACGAUAAUGACGGUACCCGGAGAAGAAGCCCCGGCUAACUUCGUGCCAGCAGCCGCGGUAAUACGAAGGGGGCUAGCGUUGCUCGGAAUUACUGGGCGUAAAGGGCGCGUAGGCGGACAGUUUAGUCAGAGGUGAAAGCCCAGGGCUCAACCUUGGAAUUGCCUUUGAUACUGGCUGUCUUGAGUACGGGAGAGGUGAGUGGAACUCCGAGUGUAGAGGUGAAAUUCGUAGAUAUUCGGAAGAACACCAGUGGCGAAGGCGACUCACUGGCCCGUUACUGACGCUGAGGCGCGAAAGCGUGGGGAGCAAACAGGAUUAGAAACCCCGGUAGUCC
rnacentral:rRNA from 1 species